AGCAGCCGGCAGAGGAGGAGGUGAUAGGAUUGGAGAGACUGAAAAGUCUACAUGAAAAUGCACUUGGUCGAGAAGAACGAUAUUAAAAACCCUGUCAACUCUGAGCAACUGGCUUCUGGCGUGGAUCUGUGGCACUCUAUUUAAAAGGCAGCUGUGAGCUUGGCUCCUCGGCUUCUCUCUGAGACACUUCAUGUUCACCGCAGCCAUCCGACCUCGAGUGUUCCCUCUGUUUCCCGAGAUCGAACUGUGUGCCUCAACUUCCCACUGGAUUCUGGACUGCCUUCCUUGAGCCCUGCUUGGACAUGGACCUAGCCCCCGACCGCUCGCCUUGCCCCCCUGGUCUGACGAAAGAUUCUUCCAACACGCACAUACAACAAGCCCUGGUAACAUUUACAUUGUUAAUUCUACACAUCGUCUUGCACCAUUCACGUACAGUAGCAUUACACACCCCAACUUA